AUUGAACGCUGGCGGCAUGCCUUACACAUGCAAGUCGAACGGUAACGGGCCUUCGGGUGCCGACGAGUGGCGAACGGGUGAGUAAUGUAUCGGAACGUACCUUUCAGUGGGGGAUAACGUAGCGAAAGUUACGCUAAUACCGCAUAUUCUGUGAGCAGGAAAGCAGGGGAUCGCAAGACCUUGCGCUGAUUGAGCGGCCGAUAUCAGAUUAGCUAGUUGGUGAGGUAAAGGCUCACCAAGGCGACUAUCUGUAGCGGGUCUGAGAGGAGGAUCCGCCACACUGGAACGGAGACACGGUCCAGACUCCUACGGGAGGCAGCAGUGGGGAAUUUUGGACAAUGGGGGCAACCCUGAUCCAGCCAUGCCGCGUGAGUGAAGAAGGCCUUCGGGUUGUAAAGCUCUUUCGGCCGGGAAGAAAUCGUAUGGGUUAAUACCCUGUGCGGAUGACGGUACCGGCAUAAGAAGCACCGGCUAACUACGUGCCAGCCGCCGCCGUAAUAC
rnacentral:rRNA from 1 species